rnacentral:rRNA from 1 species
GAUGAACGCUGGCGGCGUGCCUAAUACAUGCAAGUCGAGCGAACAGAUGAGGAGCUUGCUCCUCUGACGUUAGCGGCGGACGGGUGAGUAACACGUGGAUAACCUACCUAUAAGACUGGGAUAACUUCGGGAAACCGGAGCUAAUACCGGAUAAUAUAUUGAACCGCAUGGUUCAAUAGUGAAAGACGGUUUUGCUGUCACUUAUAGAUGGAUCCGCGCCGCAUUAGCUAGUUGGUAAGGUAACGGCUUACCAAGGCAACGAUGCGUAGCCGACCUGAGAGGGUAAUCGGCCAAACUGGAACGGAGACACGGUCCAGACUCCUACGGGAGGCAGCAGGAGGGAAUCUUCCGCAAUGGGAGAAAGCCUGACGGAGCAACGCCGCGUGAGUGAUGAAGGCCUUCGGAUCGUAAAACUCUGUUAUUAGGGAAGAACAAAUGUGUAAGUAACUAUGCACGUCUUGACGGUACCUAAUCAGAAAGCCACGGCUAACUACGUG